rnacentral:rRNA from 1 species
AGGUAAGCUACUAAGAGCGAAUGGUGGAUGCCUUGACUGGUAAAGGCGAUGAAGGACGUACUAGACUGCGAUAAGCUACGGGGAGCUGUCAAGAAGCUUUGAUCCGUAGAUUUCCGAAUGGGGCAACCCAAUGUAUAGAGAUAUACAUUACCUAUAUAGGAGCGAACGAGGGGAAUUGAAACAUCUUAGUACCCUCAGGAAAAGAAAUCAAUAGAGAUUGCGUCAGUAGCGGCGAGCGAAAGCGCAAGAGGGCAAACCCAGUGCUUGCACUGGGGGUUGUAGGACUGCAAUGUGCAAGAGGUAAGUUUAGCAGAACAUUCUGGAAAGUAUAACCAUAGAGGGUGAUAGUCCCGUAUGCGAAAAACAAACCUUAGCUAGCAGUAUCCUGAGUAGGGCGGGACACGAGGAAUCCUGUCUGAAUCUGGGUCGACCACGAUCCAACCCUAAAUACUAAUACCAGAUCGAUAGUGCACAAGUACCGUGAGGGAAAGGUGAAAAGAACUGAGGUGAUCAGAGUGAAAUAGAACCUGAAACCAUUUGCUUACAAUCAUUCAGAGCCCUAUGUAGCAAUACAGGGUGAUGGACUGCCUUUUGCAUAAUGAGCCUGCGAGUUGUGGUGUCUGGCAAGGUUAAGCAAACGCGAAGCCGUAGCGAAAGCGAGUCUGAAUAGGGCGCUUAGUCAGAUGCUGCAGACCCGAAACGAAGUGAUCUAUCCAUGAGCAAGUUGAAGCUAGUGUAAGAACUAGUGGAGGACUGAACCCAUAGGCGUUGAAAAGCCCCGGGAUGACUUGUGGAUAGGGGUGAAAGGCCAAUCAAACUUCGUGAUAGCUGGUUCUCUCCGAAAUAUAUUUAGGUAUAGCGUUGUGUCGUAAUAUAAGGGGGUAGAGCACUGAAUGGGCUAGGGCAUACACCAAUGUACCAAACCCUAUCAAACUCCGAAUACCUUAUAUGUAAUCACAGCAGUCAGGCGGCGAGUGAUAAAAUCCGUCGUCAAGAGGGAAACAACCCAGACUACCAGCUAAGGUCCCUAAAUCUUACUUAAGUGGAAAACGAUGUGAAGUUACUUAAACAACCAGGAGGUUGGCUUAGAAGCAGCCAUCCUUUAAAGAAAGCGUAAUAGCUCACUGGUCUAGUGAUUUUGCGCGGAAAAUAUAACGGGGCUAAAGUAAGUACCGAAGCUGUAGACUUAGUUUACUAAGUGGUAGGAGAGCGUUCUAUUUGCGUCGAAGGUAUACCGGUAAGGAGUGCUGGAGCGAAUAGAAGUGAGCAUGCAGGCAUGAGUAGCGAUAAUUAAUGUGAGAAUCAUUAACGCCGUAAACCCAAGGUUUCCUACGCGAUGCUCGUCAUCGUAGGGUUAGUCGGGUCCUAAGUCGAGUCCGAAAGGGGUAGACGAUGGCAAAUUGGUUAAUAUUCCAAUACCAACAUUAGUGUGCGAUGGAAGGACGCUUAGGGCUAAGGGGGCUAGCGGAUGGAAGUGCUAGUCUAAGGUCGUAGGAGGUUAUACAGGCAAAUCCGUAUAACAAUACUCCGAGAACUGAAAGGCUUUUUGAAGUCUUCGGAUGGAUAGAAGAACCCCUGAUGCCGUCGAGCCAAGAAAAGUUUCUAAGUUUAGCUAAUGUUGCCCGUACCGUAAACCGACACAGGUGGGUGGGAUGAGUAUUCUAAGGCGCGUGGAAGAACUCUCUUUAAGGAACUCUGCAAAAUAGCACCGUAUCUUCGGUAUAAGGUGUGGUUAGCUUUGU